rnacentral:rRNA from 1 species
GCCAUGCAAGUAUUAGUACAUGCUGUUUACACGGUGAGACCGCGAAUGGCUCAUCUAAAUCAGUUAUGGUUUUCUAGAUUAUGCCCAGUUACUCGGAUAACUGUGGCAAUUCUAGAGCUAAUACGUGCAUGACUACCCUUGGAUGUCCCGUACAACCUUGAGUAAGCAUUUUUUAGACCUAAGCCAGCAUCUGAGCUCCCUUGUGGUUCGCAGGUGUGACAGUUAUAAGUGACGAUACUGAAAAACUUUUGCCAAUCGCUAAGCACUCGUUGCGGCGAUAAGUCUUUCGAGUGUCUGCCUUAUCAACUGUCGAUGGCAGGUUAUGUGCCUACCAUGGUUGCCACGGGUGACGGAGAAUCAGGGUUCGAUUCCGGAGAGGGAGCCUGAGAAACGGCUACCACAUCCAAGGAAGGCAGCAGGCGCGUAACUUACCCAAUCCCGGCACGGGGAGGUAGUGACGAAAAAUAACGAUACGGAACUCUUUUGAGGCUCCGCAAUCGGAAUGAGUACAAUUUAAGGCCUUUAACGAGGAGCUAUUGAAGUGCAAGUCCGGUGCCAGCAGACGCGGUAACUCCGGCUUCAAAAGCGUAUAUUAAAGUUGUUGCGGUUAAAAAGCUCGUAGUUGAAACCUGGUGCUCUGAGGGACGGCCAUCUAUGUGUGGCGUAUCCUUUCUGAGUACAACCUGGGUGAUUCCGUCCGUCGUCUUCUUUAUUGAGGGCUUCGGGUGGACACCAAAUAUCACUCUGAUAAAAUUAGGGUGCUCAAAGCUGGCCUUGUGCCGGUAUAUCAAUGCAUGGAAUGAUGGAAAAGGUUGUUGUUUCGUUUGUGGCUUUGAAUCUGACUAAAAUGACCAAGAGGAACAGACGGGGGCAUUUGUAUUGCGGCGCUAGGACGGUGAAAUUUCUGGACCGUCGCNNNNNNNNNNNNNNNNNNNNNNNNNNNNNNNNNNNNNNNNNNUGAUCAAGAACGAAAGUCAGAGGUUCGAAGGCGAUUAGAUACCGCCCUAGUUUUGACCAUAAACGAUGCCAACCAGCAAUCCGUUUGAGUUGUCUCUUGGACUCGACGGGCAGUCCCCGAGAAAUCAAAGUUAAGGUUCCGGGGAAGUAUGGUUGCAAAGCUGAAACUUAAAGGAAUUGACGGAAGGGCACCACCAGUUGUGGGACUUGCGGCUUAAUUUGACUCAACGCGGGAAAGCCUAACCGGCCCAGACACUGAGAGGAUUGACAGAUUGAGAGCUCUUUCUUGAUUCGGUGAUUAGUGGUGCAUGGUCGUUUCUAGUUCGUGGAAUGAUUUGUCUGCUUAACUGCGAUAACGAACGAGACACUAUCCUAUUAAAUAGACGCAAUGUUCGUGGCGCAUUGCGGUCACUUCUUAAUGGGACAGGUUGCAUUGAGCAACACGAAACAGUGCGGCAAYAGGUCUGGAAUGCCCUUAGAUGUCCGGUGCCGCACGCGUGUCACAAUGAAAGACACAGCGUGUAAAACCCUACCUUGAAAAAGUGGGGUAAUCCCUUGAAUGUCUCUCUUGAUUGGGAUUGGAACUUGAAAUUAUUUGCCAUGAACGAGGAAUAUCUCGUAAGCACUAGUCACCACCUAGUGCUGAUUAAGUCCCUGCCCUUUGUGCACACCGCCCGUCGCCAUUACCGAUUGAGUGAGUUAGUGAGGUCUUCUAAUCUAGUCGUUUUAGAGCUCUUUUUGAGUUUUGGAGGGAUUGGAGCAGUUGACCAAACUUGCUCAUUUAGAGGAAAUG